rnacentral:rRNA from 1 species
CCUGCGGAGGGAUCAUUACCGAGUUUACAACUCCCAAACCCAAUGUGAACGUUACCAAACUGUUGCCUCGGCGGGAUCUCUGCCCCGGGUGCGUCGCAGCCCCGGACCAAGGCGCCCGCCGGAGGACCAACCAAAACUCUUUUUGUAUACCCCCUCGCGGGUUUUUUAUAAUCUGAGCCUUCUCGGCGCCUCUCGUAGGCGUUUCGAAAAUGAAUCAAAACUUUCAACAACGGAUCUCUUGGUUCUGGCAUCGAUGAAGAACGCAGCGAAAUGCGAUAAGUAAUGUGAAUUGCAGAAUUCAGUGAAUCAUCGAAUCUUUGAACGCACAUUGCGCCCGCCAGUAUUCUGGCGGGCAUGCCUGUCCGAGCGUCAUUUCAACCCUCGAACCCCUCCGGGGGGUCGGCGUUGGGGAUCGGCCCUGCCUCUUGGCGGUGGCCGUCUCCGAAAUACAGUGGCGGUCUCGCCGCAGCCUCUCCUGCGCAGUAGUUUGCACACUCGCAUCGGGAGCGCGGCGCGUCCACAGCCGUUAAACACCCAACUUCUGAAAUGUUGACCUCGGAUCAGGUAGGAAUACCCGCUGAACUUAAGCAUAUCAUA